CUGUGGCUACUCACGCGUCGCACAGUCGCACGCCGCUAGACUUCUUCUUGAGUUAUGCACUCCUAUUAUAUUUGCUUAUUUAAUUUCCAAAUAAUAACUCCAAUUUAUUUAUUUAGGGCAAUAAAUCGUCUGAUACACGUUCACACUCGAGAGCGGUCCGGGGGGAAGAGGAGGUAGCUGACAUCAUAUUUU